UCAGUAGAAGCUGCUGGGAGUCCCAGCAGCUUCUACUGAAGCCAGUCCCCAACUCCGGGGACUUCCGGCUGGGGACUUCGCGUGGCAGUAUACGGCGUGAAGUUGUUUGCGGCCUGCCAGUAAACCCAAAGCAGAAGAAGAAGAAGUGACGUCAGCGGCUUCAUUUGCCUAAUCCUCCCUCAGGGAACUUAUCAAUUUGUGUGAAUGCGAUCUGCUCUUUGGUUCCAAGGGGGAACUAAGUGCUGGCACUAAGUACGGCAAAGUACUUGGUGUGAAAGCGGCUUAUGUUAUAUUUUAUUACACAGCUUAGUUGAAUGCCUGAAUCUUAUUGGUUAAUUUGGACAUAUCAGAGGUUGUUAAUACUCAAUAACACACUGCUGCUAAGCUAAAUAAUGACCGUUGCUACAGAGGAUCUAGGGGGUUAUUUUUUCAUUAAUGACCGCCUCGCUGCACAUUAUCCCUGAUUUAUAUCAUAUUAUACUUUUUGUAAAGUGCAAAGACUUCAUUCUUUGACGCUGCUUUUUCGAUGCGAAUGAUGCUCAUAUUGAUAAGGCCUCAUAGCUUUAAUUAUUUAGUAAAGUAAUUAAUAUAUUUUCACUACUUAUAUGUACUUAUGUGGAUUUUAGGAAGACAACCAAUUAUUUUUGUGAGAAGUUCUCAAGUCUUUAUUUAAGUGAAUUUGGCUUCUGAAUUGAAGUGUUUACAGGAUUUUUAAAUGUAGUUUAACUUUAAUGCAUUUGUUACAAAUAUUUAACCGCUAUUUUAAACAUUUUUAUAAAGGUGUGUAUAUAAAGUAUAUCCGUGAAUAUUUGAGGUGACGGUUGGUCACAUUUUUCUCCUCGACAUUGAGGGAUUAUUAAGAGAGUACAUUGAGAUCCAGAGUAAGAAAUCGAUGCUUAGAGUUAUGGCUAUUCUCUCUUAAAAAGGAGGCUAUAUCUGGAUGCCGUUUACUUACCAUUGUGUGUAUAGAGAAAGUGAGAGGUGUUUGCUUUAAAGAAACUUGACCUGAAAACAAAAUGUAUACUGCUAUUAAAACUGGAAACGACAUUAAAUAGUGAAAAACAAUGCUGCUGCUAUGUUCCUGCAGUGUGCUGCUGUUUCUACUAUCAACAAAGCUGCUGUCACUGUCUGUGUUGUUUACAUUCUCAUCAACAGGAAGCAGCAGUGUGGGUCUGACGGACUGGGAGGACGAUGAGAUCCUGGCGUCGGUGCUGGCCGUUUCUCAGCAGGAGUACAUGGACAGCAUGAAACACCAGAGCACCUCCGCCAUGCACCGAGAGCGAGAGCCGUCACCGGACAGCAGCUGAUAGCCGGCCGACACACAACCCCCCCCCACACACACACACACACACACGACACAACGAUGACCUUUGACCUCCCCACCUUAUCCCCCCCUCCCCCCUCCACCUCACCUCUGUCCCACAGAAGGAGAUCGACCAGGGAAAAAAAAAAAA